rnacentral:tRNA from 1 species
UUUUUACUGGCUCAGAGGUUAAAGCAUCUGCCUGCAAUGCGGGAGACCUGGGUUUGAUUCCUGGGUUGGGAA